rnacentral:rRNA from 1 species
UGACCUUUGACCUCAAAUCAGGUAGGAUUACCCGCUGAACUUAAGCAUAUCAAUAAGCGGAGGAAAAGAAACUAACAAGGAUUCCCCUAGUAACUGCGAGUGAAGCGGGAAAAGCUCAAAUUUAAAAUCUGGCGGUCUUCGGCCGUCCGAGUUGUAGUCUGGAGAAGUGCUUUCCGCGCUGGACCGUGUACAAGUCUCUUGGAACAGAGCGUCAUAGAGGGUGAGAAUCCCGUCUUUGACACGGACUACCAGUGCUUUGUGAUGCGCUCUCAAAGAGUCGAGUUGUUUGGGAAUGCAGCUCAAAAUGGGUGGUAAAUUCCAUCUAAAGCUAAAUAUUGGCGAGAGACCGAUAGCGAACAAGUACCGUGAGGGAAAGAUGAAAAGCACUUUGGAAAGAGAGUUAAACAGUACGUGAAAUUGCUGAAAGGGAAACGAUUGAAGUCAGUCGCGUUGGCCAGGACUCAGCCUUGCUUUUUGCUCGGUGCAUUUUCUGGUUGACGGGCCAGCAUCGAUUUUAACCGUCGGAAAAAGGUUGGGGGAAUGUGGCACCUUCGGGUGUGUUAUAGCCCUCAGUCACAUACGGCGAUUGGGAUCAAGGACCGCAGCACGCCUUAGACCGGGGAUGCCCGCGUCGGCUAGGAUGCGGCGAGGUCAGACGCUACAUCGUCGGGC